CCCUUAGAUGUUCUGGGCCGCACGCGCGCUACACUGAUGCAUUCAACGAGCCUAUCCUUGACCGACAGGUCCGGGUAAUCUUUGAAUCUGCAUCGUGACGGGGAUAGAUUAUUGCAAUUAUUAAUCUUCAACGAGGAAUGCCUAGUAGGCGCAAGUCAUCAGCUUGCGUCGAUUACCUCCCUGCCCUUUGUACACACCGCCCGUCGCUCCUACCGAUUGGGUGUGCUGGUGAAAUGUUCGGAUCGGCCGUUUGUCGCGGUUUCCGCGUCAUGUGGCUGAGAAGUUCAUUAAACCCUCCCACCUAGAGGAAGGAGAAGUCGUAACA
rnacentral:rRNA from 1 species